AAUUAAUUUUUAACGGCCGCGGUAUCCUGACCGUGCAAAGGUAGCAUAAUCACUUGUCUCCUAAAUAGGGACUUGUAUGAAUGGCAAAACGAGGGUUUAACUGUCUCUCUUUCUCAAUCAAUGAAAUUGACCUACCCGUGCAGAGGCGGGUAUGACUAUAUAAGACGAGAAGACCCUGUGGAGCUUAAAAUUAUAUCUUAAAUUUAGCUUAUCUUAUACCCUAGGGACUAAUUUUACAAAACUCCUUAAGAUAAAUUUUUGGUUGGGGUGACCUCGGAGUACAAAUAACCCUCCGAAUGAUAUAACUAAGACCAACGCAUCAAAGUGCUAACCAAGCCAGUAAUUGACCCAAAACUUGAUCAACGGAACAAGUUACCCCAGGGAUAACAGCGCAAUCCUAUUU
rnacentral:rRNA from 1 species